CCUACGGGUGGCAGCAGUAGGGAAUAUUGCUCAAUGGGGGAAACCCUGAAGCAGCAACGCCGCGUGGGGGAUGAAGGAUUUAGGAUUGUAAACCCCUUUUGUGAGAGAAGAAAAUGACGGUAUCUGACGAAUAAGCACCGUCUAACUCCGUGCCAGCAGCCGCGGUAAUACGUAGGGUGCAAGCGUUACUCGGAUUCACUGGGGGUAAAGGGUGCGUAGGCGGGCUUGUAAGUCAGAUGUGAAAUGCUGGGGCUUAACUACCGAACUGCGUUUGAAACUCUGAGGCUGGAGUGGGGGAGAGGUAUGUGGAAUGCGUGGUGUAGCGGUGAAAUGCGUAGAUAUCAAGAGGAACACCGAUUGCGAAGGCGACUUACUGGAACGUAACUGACGCUGAUGCACGAAAGCGUGGGGAGCGAACAGGAUUAGAUACCCGGGUAGUC
rnacentral:rRNA from 1 species